rnacentral:rRNA from 1 species
UACGUAGGGGGCAAGCGUUGUCCGGAAUCAUUGGGCGUAAAGCGCGUGUAGGCGGCCCGGUAAGUCCGCUGUGAAAGUCCAGGGCUCAACCCUGGAAUGCCGGUGGAUACUGUCGGGCUCGAGUCCGGAAGAGGCGAGUGGAAUUCCUGGUGUAGCGGUGAAAUGCGCAGAUAUCAGGAGGAACACCGAUGGCGAAGGCAGCUCGCUGGGACGGUGACUGACGCUGAGACGCGAAAGCGUGGGGAGCAAACAGG